rnacentral:lncRNA from 1 species
CUCUCUUUCACCCACAUCAGAGACGGCUCCCAGCAAUGCCGUAUAUAUUUGGGUCUUGAUAAGGACUCAUGUGAAGACUGCUCUCCUCUCAUCUGUCUUCUGCCCAUAAUCUCCACAGCUGUUCUUGGCAAGGACACUUGGACUAAAGAUUGGGACAGUUUACAGCUUGAUCAACUUGUCUGUUCCUGGCGAGAUCUGUCUGCCACGAAGGGUUUUCUCAUCGUCGCUCUCUUGAGUGCAGCUGUCCUUCCCAGAACCCUGCGUGGGGUCUCUCAUUCACCUUGACUGGGUAUUGACAGCUGCCCACUGCCCCUUACCUGUUGAAAUUCGACUGGGAGUUUCUCAACCUAGCAUCACAAACAAGAAACAACAGAUAUGAAACUAUUCAUCGAUUGUGACCUACCCUGACUUUGAUGCAAAAUCCUUGAACAAUGACCUAAUGAUGAUCAAACUAUCAACACCUGCUUCACUCAACCCCCAUGUGGGGACUAUAGCCAUAGCCUUGGAACCCAUUCCAUUUAAUGAAUCCUGCUUUAUUCCAACCUGGACCUGGAAUGAAUAUAAAAACCAUAUGUGUUGGAUGCUGUGUUCUUUAUGCUGAGGAGGUUGGAGCUGGGAGAAAAUGUAGAGGGAUGUCCCUAAUGGAAAUCGCUGCUAUGAGACAAUGUUGUCCACCAUAGAGGGAUUCCUGCCAGGGACCCAAACCACCAUCACUGGAGGUCAAAGAUAAAAUUCAAAGAGACUGAUAAAGGGCAGCCACUCUGACACCAACAAAUGGAGCAGACAGUAAUUUUCAUAUCUCUAGAAUAUUGAAGACAAGAGUCCAGAGAACUGGAUUGAAAUACAGGUGGGAGAAAUAGGAGUCCUCGUGCACAGACAGUAUGAAGGCAGCCUGCGGGAGGGUGACACCCAUUGAUAGUUGCUGAAAGCCCAUCACACAAUGGAAGAACAGUGGGGGAAAUGAACAUAAAAUAUAUGUGAUGCGGUGAAGCAGCAGAAGAUGCUUCCUACACCUUCCGCAGAGAACCCAGUUAUGUGCAGAGAACCCUGGGAGAGAAGAGAAUGGUUGAGGGAGUACCUGUCCUGUCACCAGAGCUGGUUCCCUGCACAGAGUGCUACUCAUACCCACUGCUUCUUCCCAGAGUUCCCAUUUAGGGGUGGAGACUUUGGUGGUUCGUAGGGAAAUUGAUUAUUAUGACAUAAUCAGUUGUUAUCUCCCUGGUCUGACAUGCCUCACAAGAAAAACAGUGGCAGCCCAUGUUGUAAGCACACACCCAUCUCCCCUGUGAGCUGAAAUUGGGAUGAGCAGAAAGAUCCGGUCUCAGCAGGAGUCUGUC